rnacentral:rRNA from 1 species
AUUCCUACGGGAAGGCAGCAGUGAGGAAUAUUGGUCAAUGGGCGGAAGCCUGAACCAGCCAUGCCGCGUGCAGGAAGGAGGCCCUACGGGUUGUAAACUGCUUUUACCCGGGAAGAAACCGCCCCCUGUGGGGGGCGUUGCCGGUACCGGGGGAAAAAGGAUCGGCUAACUCCGUGCCAGCAGCCGCGGUAAUACGGAGGAUCCGGGCGUUAUCCGGAAUUACUGGGUUUAAAGGGUGCGUAGGCGGGGCUUUAAGCCGGCGGUGAAAUGCAGCGGCUCAACCGCUGGAAUGCCGUUGGGACUGGGGCUCUUGGAUACGGUCGGGGCGGGUGGAACUCGUGGUGUAGCGGUGAAAUGCAUAGAUAUCACGAGGAACGCCGGUAGCGAAGGCAGCUCGCCGGGCCGGUAUUGACGCUGAGGCACGAAAGCGUGGGGAUCGAACAGGAUUAGAUACCCUGGUAGUCCACGCCGUAAACGAUGAUGGCUGGGUGUUGGCGAUAGACGGUCAGCGCCUGAGGGAAACCAUUAAGCCAUCCACCUGGGGAGUACGGCCGCAAGGCUGAAACUCAAAUGAAUUGACGGAAU